UGUGGUUAAAAAGCUCGUAGUUGGAUCUCGGCGGACUGAGGGCGGUUUGCUUGCUAGUAUUACUGCCCUAUAGUCCGUAGUUUUGCCAGAGGUUUCGGGGUGCUCUUAAUCGAGUGUCCCGGGAUGCUGGCAGGUUUACUUUGAAAAAAUUAGAGUGCUCAAAGCAGGCUAUUACGCCUGAAUAUUCGUGCACGGAAUAAUAGAAUAGGAAGUCGUUUCUAUUUUGUUGGUUUUCGGAAAUUGACUUAAUGAUUAAUAGGGACAGUCGGGGGCAUUUGUAUUCAAACGACAGAGGUGAGAUUCUUGGACCGUUUGAAGACAAACUACUGCGAAAGCAUUUGCCAAGAAUGUUUUCAUUAAUCAAGAACGAAAGUUAGAGGUUCGAAGGCGAUUAGAUACCGCCCUAGUUCUAACCAUAAACGAUGCCAGCUAGCGAUCUGAGGACGUUUUUUUUGUAGACUCCUCAGGAAGCUUCCCGGGAAACCAAAGCGUGUGGGUUCCGGGGGAAGUAUGGUUGCAAAGCUGAAACUUUAAAGGAAUUGACGGAAGGGCACCACCA
rnacentral:rRNA from 1 species